GGACUUAUUUUUGUCAGCGUUGACAGACAAAAAUUUUACAAUUGCAUGUUUAUUAGCUCUAAUUGAUUGAAGAGAAGUUUCAUAAGAUAGAUAAUACUAAAGACCAUGAACUUUGAUUUGUCGCUGGCCAAUUGAUUGAAUGGUUCAUUUUCUAAACGGUUCGGUAGCAAGGGGAUAUGUCCAACAUCUGUUGUGAUUGGUGCUUAAUGUUGCAUUUUGUUGGGUUCCCUCAACACAAUUAGUAUUCCGUGCUAUAUCUGGAACUUACGUGGCUAGGAAUUUGUGUGGUAGCCUAAAAGAUACCUGAGACAUGGAUCACAUAGUUGCCGGUCACAAAAUUUGCUGGGCAAAUAGUAAGUUUUAGCUGUCAGACAACCACUGCUUUGUGUUCGUGCAUUCGUGCUAGGUUUGGACCUAAAGAAGAUUGGGUGGAGUACUCCAGAUGAGCUUUUUGGUUGUGAUUAAAUCAUGACUACCAUGUGAAAGCAGAAAAAUGUAAACAAAGUCAAGUAUUUAGCGAUCACAAAUUGCAAAAGAUAUGAAAGCUUCCACUAAGAGAGAAGAGAGAGAGGAGAAAACAAGACAGAGAAUAAGAAAAUAUUUGGUUAAGCCCAGCACAGCACCGUUUAGCAGCAUUCUGAUCUCCCGAGUAGUUUCAGCAUUGUUCCGGAACUGAAAAGCAUAGGUUCAGCAGAGUUCCAGUCAAGUUUCAGCAGACUUUUAGCUAGCCACAGGUAUUGAAAACUAAAAGAAUAUGCUAUGUCAAAUAAUGCAUAUGCUACUUACGAUCCACAAUCUCAGUUGCAUUGCCAUCCAAAGACUGUCAUGCUGACCAGUAACUUCAACCACUGGCUUCUUGCCUAUUGGCAGCGGAUUUUACCAACUAUUUUUUGUGGCAUUUGAAUUUUUACUAUUUAAAGUACAAACACUGAGUUUCCCUUUAA
rnacentral:lncRNA from 1 species